CCUACGGGUGGCAGCAGUGGGGAAUAUUGGGCAAUGGGCGCAAGCCUGACCCAGCAACGCCGCGUGAAGGAAGACGGCUCUCGGGUUGUAAACUUCUUUUGUCAGGGAAGAGUAGAAGACGGUACCUGACGAAUAAGCCACGGCUAACUACGUGCCAGCAGCCGCGGUAAUACGUAGGUGGCAAGCGUUGUCCGGAUUUACUGGGUGUAAAGGGCGUGUAGCCGGGUUGACAAGUCAGUUGUGAAAUCCUGCGGCUUAACCGCAGAACUGCAUUUGAAACUGGUGAUCUUGAGUACUGGUGAGGUAGACGGAAUUCCUGGUGUAGCGGUGAAAUGCGUAGAUAUUAGGAGGAACACCAGUGGCGAAGGCGGUCUGCUGGACAGCAACUGACGGUGAGGCGCGAAAGCGUGGGGAGCAAACAGGAUUAGAUACCCCAGUAGUC
rnacentral:rRNA from 1 species